AUGGAAAGACAAAGGGAUAUGCAGGAGGCAGAUUUGGGAGGAGAGGAAGUGAAUAGGGCUUCCAUGGUCCAUCCUCGGGCCGAAAGACCUGAUCCUGGGAUUGAGAUCAAUACGCAAGCGCUAUCAAUCCAUGAGCCACAGAUCUUUCAUGUUCAAGCGGGGCAGCAGAUGCAAGAACAGGGUCAAGAUGCAGAGUUUAAUAUUCUUAUGAAGCUUGCAGCUACAGGAGGUACAGUUAGAGUUCUUUCUCUUCAAGCAGUACAACAAUCUAUGGCUAGAGCAUGGAGAGACAACUAUUAUGGAAUCUCACAGCUAUCAAGAUACAUCUUUGUUGCACAUUUUCGCUCCUUGGAAGCUGCUAUGUUUGUAAUUACCCGUCAGCCGUGGAGUAUGGGUUCAGACAACUUCUUGAUUGAGUGGAUGGAUCUGGAGGAUCGUGGCAAAAAUAUUCAGGAUUACAAGUUUGAUACUAUUUAUGUGACCAUCCGUGUUUAUGGAAUUCCUAUGAGGUUUAGGUCUCAAGAUCUUCUAGUCAAUAUUUUACAGUGUUGGUCAGCUUUCUGA
rnacentral:rRNA from 1 species